rnacentral:ncRNA from 1 species
GCAAAAUUGAUGAAAAAGAGAGUAGUUUUUAACCGAAUGUAUUAGCGAGUUGGAAGGGUGAAAGCCAACCAUUCAUUAAAAAUGAACCGCACUUUUGAAAUGAUUAUUUGAAAUGUAGGAUAAUCCGGAUUCGCCGUUACCGAGUAAAGUGGCUCAAUAGGAGCAAUCAGAGUGGUACCACGGGAAUUCUCGUCUCUAUA